rnacentral:rRNA from 11 species
AGUAACGGCGAGUGAACAGGGAAAAGCCCAAAUUUGUAAUCUGGCACUUUUUACAAGUGUCCGAGUUGUAAUUUGUAGAGCUGUUAUCCGUACUGGACCAUGUACAAGUCUGUUGAAAAGCAGCAUCAUUGAAGGUGAAAAUCCUGUAGAUGAUAUGGACUACCAGUAUAUUUGUGAUACGGUUUCUAAGAGUCGAGUUGUUUGGGAAUGCAGCUCAAAGUGGGUGGUAAAUUCCAUCUAAGGCUAAAUAUAAGUGAGAGACCGAUAGCAAACAAGUACCGUGAGGGAAAGAUGAAAAGAACUUUGAAAAUAGAGUUAACAGUACGUGAAAUUGCUGAAAGGGAAACGUUUGAAGUUAGUUUUGUAUUCGUUGGAUCAGCUUCGCAAGGAGUGUAUUCUGAUGAUAAGCAAGUCAACAUCAGUCUAUGAGUGUUGGAUAAGGGUUUUGAGAAUGUAGCAAUUUAAUUGUGUUAUAGCUUGAGACUUGGAUACGAUGCUUUGGAUUGAGGAACGCGUAGUAAGCUUUGAGCGGAUUCGAAAGGAUCUCCUUACUAUGGAUGUUGGUGAAAUAACUUUAAGCGACCCGUCUU